UCUUGAUUUACGCACAAAGUAGAGCUUGAUGUUUGCAUUCUAGUAUUGUUAUCCUCCAAAUAAUACUCUCAUCUUUCUAAAGGUACAAAAAUUCACAGUAUGUGGAUGAGCGGCAUCGGCAUAGAUAUGAGGUUAAUCCUGAGAUGGUUGAUGCUUUAGAAAAAGCUGGCUUGAAAUUUGUUGGAACGGAUGAAAGUGGAAAGCGAAUGGAGAUUUUGGAACUUCCAAAUAACCCAUUUUAUGUAUGUGUCCAGUUUCAUCCAGAAU